UAGAUCAUUUUUGCUGAAAGCUGGGACGUAAUUUUUCUUUGUUUUUUUCUCGUAAUUUUCCAGUGGCCAACAAUGAUAUAUAACAGAAUAAUAUAGUGUAGUUUAAAUAUUACAACGUAAGAAUUAGUAUAACUCCACAAACAAAAUUAGCGUUUGUUUCUUAGUGCAUUAAAUAUAUAGCAAAAAGAAAAUUAUUAUUAGGUUAAUCCAAGUUAACUUUGUAUUCGCAGCAUAAAAUGUUCGCGUUUGAAUCAUUCGUUUGUUCAUCUGAGCAUAUACCUUGCAUGAACAUGAGUUAUUCGUACAUAUAUUAAUGAAUGUAUUUUCAAAUGUAAUCGUAUUUUUUAGUCAAAACCAACUGUAAUAGCAGG